rnacentral:rRNA from 1 species
UACGAAGGGUGCAAGCGUUAAUCGGAAUUACUGGGCGUAAAGCGCGCGUAGGUGGUUCAGCAAGUUGAAGGUGAAAUCCCCGGGCUCAACCUGGGAACUGCCUCCAAAACUACUGAGCUAGAGUACGGUAGAGGGUAGUGGAAUUUCCUGUGUAGCGGUGAAAUGCGUAGAUAUCGGGAGGAACACCAGUGGCGAAGGCGGCUUCCUGGCCUGUUCUUGACGCUGAGGCGCGAAAGCUAGGGGAGCAAACGGG